rnacentral:rRNA from 1 species
UACGUAGGGGGCGAGCGUUGUCCGGAAUGACUGGGCGUAAAGGGCGCGUAGGCGGCUGAAUAAGUUAGGAGUGAAAGUCCAGCUUUCAAGGUUGGAAUUGCUUUUAAUACUGUUCAGCUUGAGUGCGGAAGAGGUAAGUGGAAUUCCCAGUGUAGCGGUGAAAUGCGUAGAGAUUGGGAAGAACACCAGUGGCGAAGGCGACUUACUGGGCCGUAACUGACGCUGAGGCGCGAAAGCGUGGGGAGCAAAC